rnacentral:rRNA from 1 species
UACGUAGGGUGCAAGCGUUUAUCCGGAAUUAUUGGGCGUAAAGAGCUCGUAGGCGGUUUGUCGCGUCUGCUGUGAAAACUGGAGGCUCAACCUCCAGCCUGCAGUGGGUACGGGGCAGACUAGAGUGCGGUAGGGGGAGAUUGGAAUUCCUGGUGUAGCGGUGGAAUGCGCAGAUAUCAGGAGGAACACCGAUGGCGAAGGCAGAUCUCUGGGCCGUAACUGACGCUGAGGAGCGAAAGCAUGGGGAGCGAACAGG